AGUUGCAGCAUAAUAGACCGUUCGUGAUGGACUUUUAAAGCUCAGCUGAUUUUGGAUUGAUGGCAAAGGGACAGGGACUUAAGUGAGAGUGAAAACACAAGCACAAGAACCCCAGGGGGAUUCAAUGGAGCCUGA